rnacentral:tRNA from 1 species
ACAGUGAUAAUUCAGUGGUUGAAUUCUCGUCUUCCAUAUGGGAGGUCUGGGUUGGAUUUCUAGUCAAUGCA